UGCGUAGGCGGUUCUGCGUGUCGGAUGUGAAAUCUCACUGAAAACGGUGAAACUGCAUUCGAAACUGCAGGGCUAGAGUGCAGGAGAGGAUGGCGGAAUUCUCGGUGUAGCGGUGAAAUGCGUUGAUAUCGAGAGGAACGCCGGUGGCGAAGGCGGCCAUCUGGACUGCAACUGACGCUGAGGCACGAAAGCUAGGGGAGCAAACAGGAUUAGAUACCCUGGUAGUCCUAGCCGUAAACGGUGUGAACUUGGUGUGGGAGGAAUUAUCCCCUUCCGUGCCGUAGCUAACGCGAUAAGUUCACCGCCUGGGGAGUACGGCCGCAAGGCUAAA
rnacentral:rRNA from 1 species